CAGUCGCCGCGGUAAUACAGAGGGUGCAAGCGUUAAUCGGAAUUACUGGGCGUAAAGCGCACGUAGGUGGCUUGAUAAGUUGGAUGUGAAAUCCCCGAGCUUAACUUGGGAAUUGCAUUCAAGACUGUCUUGCUAGAGUGUGGAAGAGGGAAGUGGAAUUCCAGGUGUAGCGGUGAAAUGCGUAGAUAUCUGGAGGAACAUCAGUGGCGAAGGCGGCUUCCUGGUCCAACACUGACACUGAGGUGCGAAAGCGUGGGGAGCAAACAGGAUUAGAUACCCCAGUAGUCCCUGUCUCUUAUAC
rnacentral:rRNA from 1 species